GGAGUAGGUUAGGUAAUCGCUGUUCUCAAUAGAUGAGAAUAGAGGAAAGUCCGGGCUCCGGAGGGCAGGGUGCUCCGUAACGCGGAGGAGAGGUGACUCUACGGAAAGUGCAACAGAAAAUACACCGCCCCGCUUUUCAUGAGCGUGGUAAGGGUGAAAAAGUGAGGUAAGAGCUCACUGCUUUCUCUGGUGACAGAGGAGGCUGGAAAACCCCACCUGGAGCAAGGCCAAAUAGGGAAGCGAUUGAGGAUGGCCCGUCCGAUGCUUCCGGGUUCGGCCGCAUGAGCCUGUCGGCAACGUCAGGCCCAGAUAAAUGAUUACCAUCUCUUUAGAGGUACAGAACCCGGCUUAUUAUCUGCUCCGGUU
rnacentral:RNase_P_RNA from 1 species